CCGCACUUGCGGCCGUACAACAAGCGUAAGUUAGAGUUUCGGUCUAAGAAGUGUGUCUUUCUUGGGUACAGUUCUCUCCACAAAGGGUACAAGUGUCUUCAUGUUCCCACCAAUUGUGUCUACAUUUCCCGUGACGUCGUGUUUGAUGAGAAUGUGUUCCCAUUUCGUGCUCUUCCGAACCACUCUACCAUUAGUUUACCACCUGUGCACUCAGCUACACCUUCGCCUGAUCAAUUUGUGGAUGUUGCAAAUGCUCCUGUGUUGCUUCCUAACCAUGUUGCAGGUAUUGGACGUGGUGCCCGUCUUGAACUCCUGGAUGAUGAGGCUAUGGACAACACUCACGAUGGUCACGUCGGUCCGGUGCAUGGCCCAUGCAUGACGGGUCGUGCCCGCCAGCCCGAUGCAUCCACAGCCGCCCCGCGGGCGUCGGCAGCGCCCGCAGGUGCGCCCGGCUCGCCUGGCUCGCCCGCCCCGUUGGCCGCAUCACCUGGGCCUGGUGACGAGUCAACGCCGCCAGCGUCGCCCUUGCCUAGCCCAGCGGCAGGCGGCCCAGCAGCCACUGGCCUAGCGGCCACGUCAGCUGCACCGGCCAGCCCCGCCUCGGCCCCCUCGGCUCCUCGCGAGCCGGCCUUGUCGUCGGCUAGGAUCGGCAGCCUCGUCUCGGCCACGUCGUCCGGUGCUGAGCCUGAUGACCCUGGCUCCUCCAGCUCAGGAUCGGUCCCGCCUUCGUCUCCUGUGGCAAGCCCUGUGUUGCCGGCGCCGCCUGCUGUGGUCGCUCAUCGUCCACACACACGGAGCCGGUCUGGUGUUUUUCGGCCCAAGGAACGCACAGACGGCACUGUGGCGUGGCUUGCCGCAUGUGUGGCUCAUGCUGCUGCGGAUCCGACGGCUGAGCCGCGUCAUUUUUAG
rnacentral:rRNA from 1 species